rnacentral:snoRNA from 1 species
ACCUUUCCGUCUCCUUCCCCAUUAGAUCUAAAAAUUGGUCUGAGUGGCUGUGGAAGAAGGAAGAGUAAAACUGAAACCACUUGAUUGUGGCAUGCCAGUUGGUUUCCAACAAAC